UCGGGAAUUUUGGGCAAUGGGGGAAAGCCUGACCCAGCAACGCCGCGUGAAGGAUGAAGUAUUUCGGUAUGUAAACUUCGAAAGAAUAGGAAGAAUAAAUGACGGUACUAUUUAUAAGGUCCGGCUAACUACGUGCCAGCAGCCGCGGUAAUACGUAGGGACCAAGCGUUGUUCGGAUUUACUGGGCGUAAAGGGCGCGUAGGCGGCAAUUCAAGUCAUCUGUGAAAUCUCCGGGCUUAACUCGGAACGGUCAGAUGAUACUGCUUUGCUAGAGUGCAGAAGGGGCAAUCGGAAUUCUUGGUGUAGCGGUGAAAUGCGUAGAUAUCAAGAGGAACACCUGAGGUGAAGACGGGUUGCUGGGCUGACACUGACGCUGAGGCGCGAAAGCCAGGGGAGCAAACGGGAUUAGAUACCCACGUAGUCCCUGAGCGGGCUGGCAAGGCGCAU
rnacentral:rRNA from 1 species